rnacentral:rRNA from 1 species
CGCUGGCGGCAUGCUUACACAUGCAAGUCGCACGGGCAGCUUCGGCUGUCAGUGGCGGACGGGUGAGUAACGCGUAGGUAUCUAUCCUUGGGUGGGGGACAACCGUGGGAAACUACGGCUAAUACCGCAUGACGACUGAGGUCCAAAGCAGCAAUGCGCCUGAGGAGGAGCCUGCGUACGAUUAGCUAGUUGGUGGGGUAAAGGCCUACCAAGGCUGUGAUCGUUAGCUGGUCUGAGAGGAUGAUCAGCCACAUUGGGACUGAGACACGGCCCAAACUCCUACGGGAGGCAGCAGUGGGGAAUAUUGGACAAUGGGCGCAAGCCUGAUCCAGCAAUGCCGCGUGUGUGAAGAAGGUCUUCGGAUUGUAAAGCACUUUCGACGGGGACGAUGAUGACGGUACCCGUAGAAGAAGCCCCGGCUAACUUCGUGCCAGCAGCCGCGGUAAUACGAAGGGGGCUAGCGUUGCUCGGAAUGACUGGGCGUAAAGGGCGCGUANGCGGAUGGUACAGUCAGAUGUGAAAUUCCCGGGCUUAACCUGGGGGCUGCAUUUGAUACGUGCGAUCUGGA